GCCACCCGUGUUUACAAAUUCGCAGCAUGACUUGAUUUCUUGACUGCUGCUAGAAACUCCAGUGUACGGCUACGUUGUAACCAGACUUCUAGUCAUUCGAAGAACAGUGAUUACUUUGCUGAGGAGGCUGGUAAAACCUAAUAGAGAAAUCGUGAGGCAGACCAAAUUGACUGAGACAUCCACACUGCAGGAAGAAGCACUACCCCAAUAGCACCAACCACACCAACGUCUGACGCAGGCAGACCACCAGGGAGCCAGGGGAAAGAAGAUUUGAGAGGAGGCACAGAGGGAUAGAAGGAAAAAAUAGAGUUAUUGAGAUAAAGAGAUGUCUGAUCCAGUAGCGAGUGGUGAAAGUGGGGUUGUGGCAGGCGUUGGGCAGGAGGCAGAGGCCGAUAGUGAGCCUCCUCAGUCAACCCCACAUCUACCCCAGGGGUAUAGCCUGCAGAUGGGGGAGAAUCUGGAAGAAGAGACCCCUUCAGCGGCUAAACAGCCCAGGCUGAGUGGAGAGGGGCUGAGUCUGGACCCCUAUGAUACAUAUAGAGGACCCAUAGAACAGGCCAGAGGGGGUCAAUAAGUCUUGGCUGUACUGAUCCAAGAUGGAGUCUCUUACAGGGGCCACCCAGCCAGGUGAGAUUGAAGGAAGAGCCGAAGAAGGAGCGUGCCAUCAGAAUGGAGACUGGGGUCCUUGUGAGGAUCAUGGCACGACAGAGGGAGUGGAGGAGGAACAGGAGCACAGCGGCUCAGCUGAAACCCCUAGCGAAGGACUAAACCUAGGCCUCGACUUCAGCCAGAUCCCUCAGAUGCUGACUGGUUCCUGGGCUGAGUACUCCACCCCCCCUGAGAACUACCUCAACUACCUCUUUGAAUUCUAUAAAACAGAGUAUCUCUCUGAGUUGCAUUGCCUUCAGGAAGUAUUCACAACCCCUUGACUUUUUCCAAAUUUAGUUGGAUUAAAUUGAGAUGUUGUGUCACUGGCCUACACAUAAUACCCCAUAAU